rnacentral:lncRNA from 1 species
UGUGGAGUAUCGUAGGUAAAGUGUCGUUAAAUUAAAGCUGGGAAUGUCGUCGCCGCAUCUAAGAUGAUGAUGCCGACGCGAUUUGAGAUCUGGCUUAGUCUUUUUUUUAGAUUAUUCGCGUGAUGCGUUGAACUUCAUGAGUUCUUAAGUGUUCUUCUUCAUCGGUGUCUUUUCAUUUAUUUAUUUUUUUGGCAUAAUACAACAAUUUUCCAUGUAGAUAAAUAAAUCCACAUAAACAAGCCAUGUAGGAACUGAAGCGAUCCACGUCUAUCUCCGAAAGUCGGGUAAUUUUAAUAAGACACAGACAAUAUGUUUUUAGUAGGUUGCGUAUCGUUUUGGUAUUAUCGUUAAGUUGAGACCUUUAC